GACGAACCGUGCGAACGUUGUUCGGAAUCACUGGGCUUAAAGGGCGCGUAGGCGGCUUCGAAAGUCCGGGGUGAAAGCCCCCAGCUUAACUGGGGAAGUGCCUCGGAUACUGCGGAGCUCGAGGGAGGUAGGGGCGGAUGGAACUUCCGGUGGAGCGGUGAAAUGCGUUGAUAUCGGAAGGAACGCCGGUGGCGAAAGCGAUCCGCUGGCCCUCUACUGACGCUGAGGCGCGAAAGCCAGGGGAGCAAACGGG
rnacentral:rRNA from 1 species